UACGGGGGGGCAAGGCGUUGUUCGGAAUUACUGGCGGUAAAGGGCUCGUAGGUGGCCAACUAAGUCAGACGUGAAAAUCCCUCGGCUUAACCGGGGAACUGCGUCUGAUACUGGAUGGCUUGAGUUCGGGGAGAGGGAUGCGGAAUUCCAGGGUGUAGGCGGUGAAAUGCGUAGAUAUCUGGAGGAACACCGGUGGCGAAGGCGGCAUCCUGGACCGAUACUGACGCUGGAGGAGCGAAAGCCAGGGGAGCAAACGGG
rnacentral:rRNA from 1 species